rnacentral:rRNA from 1 species
CCUACGGGGUGCAGCAGUGGGGAAUAUUGGACAAUGGGCGAAAGCCUGAUCCAGCCAUGCCGCGUGUGUGAAGAAGGCCUUCGGGUUGUAAAGCACUUUCAGUGGGGAAGAAAGCCUUGGGGCUAAUACCCUCGAGGAAGGACAUCACCCACAGAAGAAGCACCGGCUAACUCCGUGCCAGCAGCCGCGGUAAUACGGAGGGUGCGAGCGUUAAUCGGAAUUACUGGGCGUAAAGCGCGCGUAGGCGGUCUGAUAAGCCGGUUGUGAAAGCCCCGGGCUCAACCUGGGAACGGCAUCCGGAACUGUCAGGCUAGAGUGCAGGAGAGGAAGGUAGAAUUCCCGGUGUAGCGGGGAAAUGCGUAGAGAUCGGGAGGAAUACCAGUGGCGAAGGCGGCCUUCUGGACUGACACUGACGCUGAGGUGCGAAAGCGUGGGUAGCAAACAGGAUUAGAUACCCGGGUAGUC